rnacentral:lncRNA from 1 species
AUAUAUAGUCUAGCUAUGGUGCUUGUAAAAGCACCGAGCACUUAGUGCUUGUAAGUUUUUUACCAUUAGAUCUACUACUUGGAUCAUUUUCAACCAUUAGAUUAUACUAUUCAACCAACCACCCACUCAACCCUAGAGGGCCCACAUCAUCCUAAACCGCAUAUCUCUUAAUCCAACGGCUAAAAAUCUAUAAGUACCAAUAACUUGGUACUUUUAAAAGCAUAGGAGCUCAAUUUUAUAUAUAUAUAUAUAAAAUUUUAUUUAUAAAUAUAUAUUUAUUUAAUAUAUAUAGUAUUUUAUUUUUAUAUAGAUAUAUAUUAUUAUAUAAUAAUUUAUUAUAUAAUUUACUAUUUAUUUUUAUAAAAUAUAAAAUAUAUAAAUAAAUGUUAAAUAAUUUAAACUAUUGGUAUUAGAUAUAAAUGUUACUUUUAUAAUAUUGUACAUUAAAAAAUAAAAUAUUUCAUAAUUAUUCUUUAUAGAUUGUACAGUUAUCGAGGAAUAAUAUAUAUUAUACAUUAAAAAAUUUUAAAAAAAUUGAUGCAGCUUAAGUUAAUUUUAUAUUUGACGAAAGUUAAUUGCGAAAAUCACAAGUAAUGAUUUCUCUUCUCAUUCACUAACUACUGGAGAACUACGAUACCUAAUAAAAAUUAUUUCACUAACUAAUGGGGGACUACCAUACCUACUAAAAUUUUUUGAUGUACUUAUUGCACUAUUUAUUAUUUUUCAAUUUCUUAAACAUGCGGUCAUGUUUGAGAUAAUUAGUAUGGGAUAAUUUCAUUCGUACCUCUAAAAAUAUUAGAAAUAUUAUAGAUAACCUUACAAAAUUAGUAAUAUUAAAUCAAAUAAAAGAGAACAAGAUGGGAAAAUAUUUAAUAAAGUUGAAAAACUAUUUCAAAAUAUCUUAUUGUUGAGAGAGCUCUUUAUAUUUGCUAUAUUAGGGAAGAUAGCUGCAUUUAUUUAAAAUUAUUUCGUAAUUUAUCUGUAAUAUUUCAUAAUUAUUCUGAAAUUAUUUUUUAUAAUUAAUUUUUAAAAUUAAAAUUUAAAAUAACUACCCGCAGCAUCGCGCGGAUCUCUUAACUAGUGUAGUAAUUAA